GAUGAACGCUGGCGGCGUGCCUAACACAUGCAAGUCGAACGGAGAUUACGGACGGAAGUUUUCGGAUGGAAGCCUGUAAUUCUUAGUGGCGGACGGGUGAGUAACGCGUGGGCAACCUGCCCUAUACAGGGGGAUAGCAGCUGGAAACGGCUGGUAAGACCGCAUAAGUCGGUUAAAUCGCAUGAUUUGAUCGGGAAAUGAGCAAUCAGGUAUAGGAUGGGCCCGCGUCCGAUUAGCCAGUUGGCAGGGUAAAAGCCUACCAAAGCGACGAUCGGUAGCCGGACUGAGAGGUCGGACGGCCACAUUGGGACUGAGACACGGCCCAAACUCCUACGGGAGGCGGCAGUGGGGGAUAUUGCACAAUGGAGGAAACUCUGAUGCAGCGACGCCGCGUGAGUGAAGAAGUAUUUCGGUAUGUAAAGCUCUAUCAGCAGGGAAGAUGAUGACGGUACCUGACUAAGAAGCCCCGGCUAACUACGUG
rnacentral:rRNA from 1 species